AUCAUCAAGUAGGUCACGUGGCGCGUACCUCUAUGUCCAAAAGCCACUCCUCUUCCACGCACCGAUUUGGAAUGAAGCAACGCUUGAUUUUGGCCUUGCGUGAAUCUGGUAUCACCACGAACACUUCGUCUUGGUGCAGGACAUGGUGGAAUCAAGAGGAUGAAGUCACGUUCAAAGCGAGUCUUCGAUGCCCAGGUCUAGAACAGCGAUACGACAUCACAAUUCCGUCGCUUUCAAACUUCGAAGAGCGACGAAGAAAUAUGGCUUCGAGGUCGCGUUCCCUUUCCGAAAUCGCAUUAGCCGGAUUCCAUUACCAUUUCUAUGUACGCGAACGUGAAAAGAGCAGAAUUGCAACCAUAGCGAAAACUCAUCGAAUCGGGAUUUUGAUGCAUACUGGAUUUUAUUUGGUUCUGGUCAUUCUGAUAUGAGGGUUAUUUGAAGAUUGAAGAAGGUUUGGGGGCGAGUGAAGUUGACAGAAGAUUGAAGGUUGAAGGAGAGUGAGGUUGACAAAAUGACGAAAGUUGAAGGAUGAUGGAUGAUGAAGAUUGAAGAAUCCCCCAGGAUUGGAGAAUGACGAACCUUUUAUAGGAGAGGGCAAGAGUUAACAGAAUUAACUUUGUUAACUCAUCCAGGUGAAAAAGUUGUUAGCAGGGUGGUUCAGUGACUCGGAAGGACAUCGGUUUUGUUAGUGAAGAGAAGGUGGGAUGGUUUGGAGAGUGGAACUGGUUCUGGCAGCUUGAAAAAUGCAGGUUCACGCGGUUCAGGAUUCGGCGCGGCUAGAACAAGUUAUUCCAUUUAAACUCCAGCUACUUCAGCAAGAAGCGAUAGGUUUGUACUUGACGAAGAUGCCACGGAAACAGGCCCACGUCCUUAUGGCCACGCCAUGGAUCCCUGUCGGAGUUUUACGGUUAAAUGAACAAGCAUAUUGUUUUGUCACCAAGUAUAAAAUCUAACACAUGUUGUAGACAAAGUAAUUCCUGAUAUGCUUAUAAAUUGUAUUUUUUAUGAAAUCGAUUGUAAAGGAAGCUUAAUGGAUGAAUGGUAUGAUUUUUCCAAUCUUUUGGAUCA